rnacentral:tRNA from 1 species
GGUGGCUCAGUGGUAGAGUGCUUGCUUUGCAUUCAUGAGGCCCUGGGUUCGAUUCCCCAGCACCA